UACGGCUCAGUAACACGUAGUCAAUCUAACCUAUGGACGGGGAUAACCUCGGGAAACUGAGAAUAAUCCGCGAUAGAUCAUAAUUCCUGGAACGGUUUAUGGUCGAAAUGAUUCGUCGCCAUAGGAUGGGACUGCGGCCUAUCAGCUUGUUGGUGAGGUAAUGGCUCACCAAGGCUAUUACAGGUACGGGCUCUGAGAGGAGAAGCCCGGAGAUGGGUACUGAGACACGGACCCAGGCCCUAUGGGGCGCAGCAGGCGAGAAACCUUUGCAAUGUGCGCAAGCACGACAAGGUUAAUCCGAGUGUUUCCUGCUAAAGGAAUCUUUUGUUAGUUCUAAAACCACUGAUGAAUAAGAGGUGGGCAAGUUCUGGUGUCAGCCACCGCGGUAAAACCAGCACCUCAAGUGGUCAGGAGGAUUAUUGGGCCUAAAGCAUCCGUAGCCGGUUCUGUAAGUUUUCGGUUAAAUCCACUAGCUUAACUAAUGGGCUGCCGAAAAUACUGCAGAACUAGGGAGUGGGAGAGGUAGACGGUACUCGGUAGGAAGGGGUAAAAUCCUUUGAUCUAUUGAUGACCACCUGUGGCGAAGGCGGUCUACCAGAACACGUUCGACGGUGAGGGAUGAAAGCUGGGGGAGCAAACCGGAUUAGAUACCCGGGUAGUCCCAGCUGUAAACGAUGCAGACUCGGUGAUGCACUGGCUUGUGGCCAGUGCAGUGCCGCAGGGAAGCCGUUAAGUUUGCCGCCUGGGAAGUACGUACGCAAGUAUGAAACUUAAAGGAAUUGGCGGGGGAG
rnacentral:rRNA from 1 species